UUUAUUUCUUGUAAUUUUUAAGUUUCUCUUUUAAUAAAGUACUGCACUGCACUGGCCAGCUUGGCGAAGAGGCUUGGUGGCCAUGGUGGGCAUGAUAAUAUUUGCUUUGGCCUAUAUAUAGAGCAGUGAAACUUGUUUGUCUUGAUGAUCGUCAGAUGAACGCCUAGAUACAUGAUCAGUACCGAUGCUGCAUGCAUGCGAGCUAAAUUUGUAUAAUUUGUAAGGAGAAAAAGGAGGAAGAGAGCUCAAGGAUGAUCUAUUGAUCUUCAUAUUAGACUAUAUAUAUAGUACUGUUGCUAAGAGAUCGAUAUUUGAAGAUGCAUGGUGAUGGAGAAUAAUUAUGGAUCAGUUUAACGGGAUAUUGGUCCGGUUCAAUAAGAAAUCCGUGCUCAAAAUGUUUCGGGCCCUGCUUUUUGAUUGAGCCGUGCCAAUAUCACGUUCCACUUCUCCCAAGUAGCCCUCGUAUCUAUGUAUAUAUCUGUUUUAUCACAUGAAGGGUUCAAACCCUAGUUCGUUCUUAGCUAGUCUCGGUCGGGGAGGUAAACCCACGUACGGGCUAUGGCCGAAGGUAAAUUUGGUUUCAGUAUUCAUUUCUUUUUCGAUCCUUUUAUGUCUUUGUAACUCGCCAUGAUUGACAUUUUUUUUUCCAACGAUCUUCAUCAUCAGUUGAGGCUGUUAUUCAUGAGUAGUACUUUAUCAGUACAGUGAUAUGAACCUAAUUAACAAAAGCUCACUUAGAAGCUUCACCCAACAAAUUAGUACAUUUCGAAAGUAGUUGAGAUGUGUAGUAGGUUGUACGUUGAUGCUAGAAACAGUACUACCUCCGCAGCGCAGCCACAUUCAUGUUUGGGUAAGACAUGCUAGCAGCUUGUGGUUAGUUGAUAUUAGUUUGAGGCUUUAAGCUGCUUAUCUACUACUCACAUUUUGCAGGACUAGA